rnacentral:rRNA from 1 species
UGGGGAAUAUUGCACAAUGGAGGGAACUCUGAUGCAGCGACGCCGCGUGAGUGAUGAAGGACUUCGUUUCGUAAAACUCUGUUCUAUGGGAAGAAAAGGACUGUACCAUAGGAGAAAGCUCCGGCUAAAUACGUGCCAGCAGCCGCGGUAAUACGUAUGGAGCGAGCGUUGUCCGGAAUUAUUGGGCGUAAAGGGUGCGCAGGCGGCUUUACAAGUUGGAUGUGAAAUAUUGUGGCUCAACCACAAACGUGCAUCCAAAACUGCAAAGCUUGAGUUAAGGAGAGGUAAGUGGAAUUCCUGGUGUAGGGGUGGAAUGCGUAGAUAUCAGGAGGAAUACCGGUGGCGAAGGCGACUUACGGGACUUAAACUGACGCUCAGGCACGAAAGCGUGGGGAGCAAACAGG